GAGCAUAUAGUCAAGUUAGUAGCUCCAAUAUCAGCCCCACAAUCCAAGAGUAUAACCUCCUUCGUACACUCGAAUAUGAAUAAUUUGAUGUUAACAGGAAUUCACGCUGUCUCAGAAUAUAUAGACAGGUCAGGUAUUAUCUGCCCUUCUGCGCCUCCACAGUAAAAAGUUUGUGCUCAAAGAUAAUAUGCUUAGGAAUAUGUUAGUUAAUUCUAAAUGCUGUGAAAUUAGCAGAAUUUGGGUUUUCGUGGUUCUUCAUGAAUCCGGCUAGUUUGCUUGUGUUAGUCCCAAGGUAAUUACUUAUAAUUUAUAUCAUAAUUACAUGUAUGAUGGAUUUUCGUGGAUAUUUGGAGUCUAGGCUUAAGCAUUCUUGAGCUUACUUGGGUAGUAGAUAUCCACAUAAUUCCCAGUCAGCAUUUCUAACUCUUUUUAAAUUUUUUUGCAUUUUCUAGCCUAUUUUUCAAAAUCUAGCUCUGUUGAAUUAUCAUUAAGGAUGUUUAAAUUUAUCGUUUCGGCUUAUAUACAUGGUCAAAUGAUGCUUCUUUAUACAACUAAUACUGGAUCUUAUUGGUAAGUUGAUGGCUUGGCGUUGGAACUGGAUUUCAAAUGUCAGAAAAAUAGGACGCAAGCUGAAAAUUUAGAGGCACUGAUAUGCUUCCAUUUUUCCAUAUUAUUCAAGUCGUGUCUAAGAUAAAACUCAUAGUAUAAAGGAGUAGUUUUGAUGCUGCAUCUCUAAAAGUGGGACAUGAUUCCCUUCCAGUUCUGCCUUAAGCAAUACAUACAGAAUAAGUCGCAUGCUUCAUGUAUUGCAACCACAAUUCAAAUAAAAAUGUCAUGAAAAUCAAAUUAAAGUGCCUGAAUGCUUUUGGCUUAUUGCUGGCUUUGUAUUGACUACCUCAGGGAUUAAUUAUGCAUGCCAUAGCCGUCAGCACCUGUAGGAAAGCCAUACAAGAAUCAUCAAAUAAGGUCAUGUUUACUUGUCUGUUUGUAUGUAAAAUUUGUUGUAUAAAAUAUCUGUGCAUAUUGACGGUUAAUCUGGCAUCAAAACAUAUGCCCCAUGUCAUGCAGCAUUCAAUAUACUAAAAUGCGAAUCUAACUUAGUGGAGGAAUGCCUUGUCUCGGUGUGUGGAAGCGAUGGUGGAACUUGGAAUAGACAUAUACCAUACCUCAUGCAUUGACAUUCUCAACUUGGGAUCGCAGUCGAGACAUUGCUCUGCCAGACGAACCAUCCAAAACAACUGGUAAAGGUCAACAGAAUCUUGCACUGCAGGAUCUAUCAGUUCCAUGUACUUUUUCUCACUCAGGAUUGGUCUCGCCUGAGGAAAAAAACAGAGAUCCAUUGGGGCCCAAUGACUUGAAGAUAGAUUUCGUCCAAAGUAAAGAUUUUAGAUUAAGGAUCUUCAAAAUAAGAAUGCUGUAGUUAUUACCCAUCUCAAGAAGCUUUGCCCCUUUGUAUCUUCAAGAGUCUUUCGGCCAGUAAUCAGCUCGAGAAGAACAAUCCCAAAGGAAUAGACAUCUGCUUUGCUCAUGUCUAUUCCGCUUUGUGCAUAUUCUGGUGCUAAGUAUUCAAAUGUCCUCAGUGCCAUGGUGUUGGAGGACUGACCUAAGGCCUCAUAUUGAUUUUUAGCAAGACCAUAAUAUGAAAGAUGGUAAAGAUGGUAAGUGGCACAAGUGAUGUAUUCAUUUGCCUUCUAGCCAUAUAAAUAUACCCAAAGCAAACAACAAAUUAAUCUUACUAGUGGCUGAUAAUCAUGGGUGACGAGUAUGUUGCUUGGCCUCAUGCUUCCAUAAAUCCUUUCUCUAUGCAGAUAUUCUAAACCUUUAGCUGCUCCAUAUGCAAUAUUAAUUCUUGUUUCCCAUGUUAAUUUGCUGCUUUUUUCUGCAGAAACAAAUUGUCCCACUAUUACCACAGAAAAAAUAGUUAUAUUAGAGAAGAAAAUUUUAUUUUCUAAGCCAUAUGCAUUUACCUGACAG
rnacentral:lncRNA from 1 species